rnacentral:siRNA from 1 species
GUCGCUUUGGCCGAGUGGUUA